ensembl:lncRNA
CGUGACGGGAAGCGGAAAGGGUCAAAAUACACGCGGAGCACGAGAAAACGCGAGCCGUGUCUUAUUUAAUCAUCACAUAGAUAACAACUAUGACGUUUUUUCUUUCCUUUUCUUUUUACAUUCUUUAUAUUAAUGAAUGUGACGAAAGCAAAACAUUAUAUUAAUGACAGCCCAAACAAGCAGGUCUCAACAUCAGAUUCACUCUGCCUUCACCGGAGAAGACUACAUUUCCCAUGAUGCAUCUCUCCAGCGCUGCAGCAGCAGCAGCAGUAGCAGAAGGCGCGUCGCAUCGCUGAUAACAUCGCGCGCUAUGGCUGCGUCUCUGUCCCGUGCUCUGAAAUUACCGGGUGAGUCAUUCAUUAAUAGAGCACAAACGAUACCAUGAUCGGCUGAUAUUAGCAAGCGGCGGCUCGCACGCGGCGCUGCUGUGUUUUGUUCGGUGACGUCAGUGAUGCGAUUACCGGACGCGGCUUCGUUCCGUUAUACCGCUGCAGUGCGUUUAAAUUCUACACGAUCAGAGUGAUUGAUCUAAUGAUCAGAUAUCUGCUCGAGCGUUUAUAGAUGACCCGCGCGCGCACGAGAGCGCGCCGUCGAGACGAGCGCAGCGUAUAACCACUCGAUUAUAUAAUAUCACGUUAUAUUCAGCAGUGAAUAAUCAUCAGUUAAUCACGGAUUCAUGCUGCUGUAUGUGCGGUAAACACCGCGAGAGUACCAUAGUACAGCAGUGGACAAACAACACAGUACCAUAUGGUGGACCGAAUAGUCACGUGACCACGUGCUUCUUUGUUGAAGGGGUGUUUAUUUAUUUAUUUAUUUAUUUAUUUACAAAGUUAGUCUUUCUUAAGUUUAAUGACUGAAUCAUUGAAAUUAAAUGACACGUUUGUUCUGGGGACAUCAGCUGAAUCUUUAUCUGCUCAAUAAUUAUGUCACAGUAAUCAAAUGAGCGUUAUUAUGAUUAUAACGAUAACUGUAACAGCAACUGCUGUAAUGAUAACUGGACUAUAACUGUGAUGUUAACUGUGAAGCUCAUUUUAAUAGCUGUAACGAUAAUUAAACUUGUUACUGAUGAUUGUAACUGUAACAAUAACUUUAAUGAUAACAGUAACUGUAAUAACUGUAACAUCUAUAAUGAUAACUGUAACAAUACUAACGAUAACUGUUACAAUAACUAUAAUGAUAACUAACAAUAACUGUAACAGUAACUUGAAAGAUAACUGGGUUAGGCUUAAUUUCAAGGUGUCUUUGUUACAGUAUAAUUAUACAUUUAAGUACUGAGUAAUAUUAAUUAACUACAGUACAUGUACUUACUGUAUGGUAAGGUUUGUAUUAGGGUUUGGUUUAGGGUUACAUACAUUUAAUUAUGUACAGUUUAUUGUUAUAAUAGUAAAUACAUGUAACGUGUACAGGGCUCACAAAAUAUCAAAUCCCUGGUAGUCCUUGGGGCAGGCACUCUUCAGGCUUUGGUAGCCCAAAAUGAACUGAACUAGCCUGAAUAUAAAAGACAUCGGCUGAACUUUACUGUGGACAAAUCAGCAUGAUCAGCAAAACGAUGAAACGAUUCAAUAAACGUACGAUGCGAUGAAAUUCA